GGAGUCGGCCAGGCAGUCGCGGCAUCGGCAACGGUGUCGAGGAAAGUCCGGGCUCCACAGGGCACGGUGCCAGGUAACGCCUGGGCGGCGCGAGCCGACGGAAAGUGCAACAGAGAGCAAACCGCCGAACGGCCCUGCCGCUGCGAGGGCACUGCCGGACGCAAGUCCGGCCAAGUGCCACCGCACCGCCGAAGGCGGAGGCAGGGUGCGUGGCAAGGGUGAAACGGUGCGGUAAGAGCGCACCGCGAGUCUGGCAACAGACCGGCACGGCAAACCCCACCGGGAGCAAGACCAAAUAGGGACCUCAUGGCGCGGCCCGCGUCGGGUCCGGGUAGGUUGCUUGAGCGCAUCGGUGACGGUGCGCCCAGAGGAAUGACUGUCCACGACAGAACCCGGCUUAUCGGCCGGCUCCGCAC
rnacentral:RNase_P_RNA from 1 species